CCGAGAAGAGUCAUCAAUCUAUCCCCCAGGCUAAACAAUUAAGUCUGGACUCUGCUAAAGUAUCUGUCAAGCAAAAGCAAGGUGCAUCCAUACUCCCUCUAGAUGCCACCUUUAAGGAGUGGAAGACCAUCCAUUAUGUCUUCGAAGGGAUGCUUCUCGAUGUCAAUCUGAGUAGGAUUGAGGGGCAGAGCUUUAGGAGACAGUAGAGGGAGGCCGUGACCUUCAUGAUUCAGAUGAGUCCCUUUUCCUUUCUUGUUAUUCUCUUCAUUUUUAUCUACUAACUCCUCUUUUCUGAAUGCAGCUAGGUCACUAUGUUGCCACUUUCAUUAACUCAUUGAGGGUCACUCGAUCAGACACUACCAAGGUACAAAGUAAAGCAGAAGCUGCUGCGACCAAGGCUUGAUCUAAGAUUGAGUCAACUG
rnacentral:lncRNA from 1 species